UAAGCGUUGACAAGAGUAAUAUACUGAAAAUUAGUUUAGAAGUGUUUCAAGUUUCAAAAAUCAAUCAAAAUCAAAUUAGGUUCUGAAGACGCUGUCUGUUGAGUUUUAGGAAAAAAUAAAGAUUCGCUUCAGCAACUCGGGAAAGUGGCUUUGACCCCAAAGGAGGUGACUCUCACACAGAAAGAGACUGUCCUUCCUUACAUCUACCUGUUGGGCCCUCUCCAAGGACUUGGCUGGGUGUCCCUGUGUUCUCUCAUCUCGGGCAUUUCUUCCAGGGGUUGAGUUACCCCUUAAUUUCUAUAUUCAGCCAUUUUUAAGUAGAAGAAGACAUAGAAUGGCUCGUUUCUUGACUGAACACUGACAGACAUGAGGAGGAAGGUCCUAGAACCCAAGUGCCUGAGUUCAAAAUCUGGUGCUAUAACUUACUGAAUAUGUAAUUUGAGAUCAUCUGGCAUCAAAAAAGGGUCGGUUACUGAGCUCAGCUUUGGAGAUGGCGCGAGAGAUACAACAGAGGAACGACCAUAUGCUAACAUGGAGGGCACAAGAGUGGUUUUUGAUGAUAUGAGCUGAGCUGCAAAGUAGAAGUGAUGUGGAAACUGAUAAAACAUGCAUUCAGUGAUGGGCAGGCAGCAGCCAAGCACACGCAUCCUCUCAAAAAAAUAAUCCAUUUCCUGACCUGAAAGGGGGCCGACUAUCUUUUCAAAAGAACUUGCAAAACUACCCAGGUCAAACCCAGGGGGGCAACGGAGCAUGUUACAGUUGCCAAAGUGCUUCCCCAACAAUUACCUUGUAGGAUUCUCAAAGCUACCCCAUAAGAAUAGGCUGGGUGCCAUUUACGAUUUUCGUUUCACAGAUGACAAAACUGACAAUGAGAAAAGGCAAGAACAUGGGGCCAGAGAAGUGGUGGAAGACGUAGGAGCAGACUGUGGCUUCCCCAUAAUUGCCUGAUUAUCCUCGCACCAAAGCACAGCAUGUUUGGCCAAAUGACUUUUACAAAAUGGAAUUGAUGGCAUCCCUAUAUGAAUAUAUAUGAACCUACCUAUCAAUAGCAUGUAAUUAUAUAUUCAUAGAUCUUCAUUUCCCAUUCAUGUUUGUAUUCUAUCAUCUAUGACCAGUUCCUACACCUUUUAACAUUUUUAUAAUUAUCUGAUUCAAUGUAUCUAUAAUUGAUCUAUCUGUUGUACUUCCUGAUUGGUCAUCUGGACACAGAUACACUGACUGAUGUGACAUAUAUAAGAUUGAUUACACCAUGAGGGAAAGCACACGGACAUUGAAAGUAUAAACACAUGCUUAUAAACCUUGCAUCCGUGGAUUUCAUUGUUUUACUAAUUUAUUUAAUCUCUCUGAACUUCAGUUUUGCACCUUGCCAAGUAGAGCUAAAAAUGCUGUGAGAGCUAGAAUAAGACUGUGAUUAUGAGCUGCACAGUGUCUGGCUCAAUGCUAGUUCCUGCUUGCUUGCUUUCUCCAGGACACUGUAUUCCCUUCUGGUCAUCUAGCUUCUCUACUGAUUCCACAUGGUGUUCAUUCACCUUCCCUCUGAACCUCAAUGUCAUGCAUCACAUGAGUCGACUAUGUAAGCAUUGGACACAUGCUUCCAGAGAUUAUCCAUUUUGGAUCAGAUGACGUGGUUCAUCAAUCUGGCUGUAAGAUUCUUUAGAUAGAGCUUCUCCUUUAUCAUCUAAGAAAGCCAGAAGUAAUUCUGAGUCUACUCUUCUGAAUCAUCUGAAGGACUUUGCAUACAGCAUUGCUCAUAAUUGGUGCCAUGUAAAUAUUUGAUAAAGCAGAUAGAGAAAAAGUUCCCACGUAGUGCUUUGAGAGUCGGAGAGUGGAAGCACAAAGGAGCUGAUCCUACAUGUACAGAAAAACUGGGAUAGCAGAUUCCUCCACAGUUUUAACAAGAAAUUCACCAAUUCAUUCCUUAAACCUGUGUUUAUUGAGCAACGAACGCAUGUUACCUGUGACACCUGCUAAGAGUAGACAAAGGCAUCAGACACAUGUAUGCGAUCUGGAAAAGUAAAGAAAUCAUUCAAUUCUAAUGUAAUCAGCACUAUGAUAUGGUGAGCAUGGUGACGCAUGGUGAGCUUUGGGAGCAGAGAGACGGUAGACAUUUGAUCCUUGUCUCUGUCAAUUGUCCAGUGUUUCUUUGUCCCUUCCUCUGGUAAUAGCACCCGCUUACUUUGAAGAGCUGAAUGUUGACUACUCUAUGCAGUUCAUGGCAUUCAUGUGGCCAGGUCUGGCUAACUACAAACCCCUCUCCUUGGCCAUGGUUAUUGACCCCGAUAUGGUCAUGUGAUCAUGGAUCAUGUGGUCCAAUUAGAGUUGUACCCUGGAAAUUGAUUAGCAGAAACUGAUACAAGAUCUCUCUUUCCUAUAUAUGACUACUGACAGUAUAAGCCAGGAGACAGAUGCGAUUUGCCACCUUCCCUCUACCCAUUGCCUGGAAAAACUCUUUAAGGUAUAAGAAAAAAGAAGUCAAACCAUAGGGUGAUACAAGUAAUAAGGAUAAAGGAAAAAACAGAUUCUGGAUAACUUUUAAGUACCUAGUCCUCCCUGGGGCCAUCUGUACCUUUGGCUUUUCCAA